AGAAAAAAGCAAACCUAGAGAAAUCUAGCGACGCAAAGCUAUAGGGUCUAGAAAAUAGAUAGCCAGUUGCCGU
rnacentral:ncRNA from 1 species